UGCAAUAUAGGUUGGACUCAGGAGGGGGUAUCAGGGUGGGGGACUUUGGUCUGGCUGAGGACGUCUAUGCUAGUGGCUGCUUCAGACAGAAUGACCGAGCCAAUGUGAAGCUGCCCUACAAAUGGAUGGCCUUGGAGAGUCUCAAUGACGCCAUCUUCACAGAGAAAACUGAUGUGUGGUCUUACGGUAUGACUGUGUGGGAGAUCUUCAAUGCAGGACGGACCCCCUACCCUGCGGUGGACCCACACUCCCUCAUCCAGCUGCUGGGAGAGGGGCGGAGAUUAGAGAGACCUCUCAACGCAGCCUGUGCCAUUGAGAUGUGAAUCUCUGAAGUGAUGCGUCAGUGUUGGAGGGAGGAUUCAGAGGAGAGGCCAACUUUCUCACAAUUGUCCUCCAUUGUGGAGAGGCUACUGACAUCCAUUGCUGGCUACACUGAGCUCAAAAUGAUGCUACAGGACACCAUUCAAGAGAAGCAGC